AAAAAUUCAUCCAAUAUGCCUGUCUGACACUGCACACUGUCAGAAUACACAGGCAGCCUUAAAAUGUUAUGCAGAAGCAUGACUUUACAGCUAUUCUAUUCUAUCAUUUUUAAAUAUACAAGAAGAAGAAUUUAGUUGUGAAUAUUAAUUUAGAUGAAAAUGAUUUAAGUAUAUCAAAAGAACAUUAAUAUCAAUGUAUCAUGUAACAAGAUGAACGAGAUAAAAUAGUAAGUAUUGGUAAGAAGAUUGAUAUGAAGUAUAUGAUAAAAAAAAUGCUUUCCAAUAAAGACUCUCCAAUAUUUUUAAUUAAUUUUAUAGUUAUUAUUGAAUUAGUUAAAUUAAUUAUUUGACUUUAUCAAUGAACUUUAUCAAUUUGAUUAUCAGCAAAUUUAAUUUCAGGACAUUUAAUUUUAACAUUAUUAGGUAUUUUUAUUAGAAAUUUUAUUGCAAUAAUUCCAAUUAAUUUAUUAAUUCAAAAUACAUUAUUAACUUUAGAAAUUUUUAUAUCAAUUAUUCAAUGAUAUGUAUUUUCAAUUUUCUUAAUUUUAUAUUUUUCAGAAUCAAAUGAAUUUUAAUUAAUAAAUAAUGAAGAAAAACUUUUCAUUUAAUGUAAUCAUAAAUUGGCCAUGACCAAUUAUUUUAUCUUUUAGAUUAUUUGAAUUAACAAGAACAAUUUUUUUACUUAUAAUUUUAAAUAUAAUUAAUACCACUUUAUAAUUAUAAUAUUUUGAUUUUGUGAUAUUAUUCGAGAUAGAAUAUUUUAUUAUAAAGGAUUACAUACAUUUUUUAUUAUUAAUUUUUAAAAAUUUAGAAUAAUUUUACUUAUUUCAGAAUUAAUAUAUUUUGUAUUUUUUUUUUUUUUUUGAUUUUUUUUCAUACAUCAAUUUUCCCAAAUAUGAAAUUGGAAUUGAUAUAUUAUGAUCACCAAAAAAUAUUAAAUUUUUUAAUUCAAUAGAAAUUCCAUUAUUAAAUUCAUUUACUUUAAUUUCUCCAGGUAAGAUUUACAGUAACAUUAAGUCAUUAUUAUUUAAUUAUUAAUAAAUUAAAAUAUAGAAAAUUUUAUUUAACACAAACAAUUUUAUUAGGGAUUUAUUUUACUAUUUUAUAAACAAUUGAAUAUUUAAAUUCUUUUUUUUUUUUUUGCUUUAAUGAUAAAAUUUAUGAUUCUAUUUCUUUUUUUUAUUCAAUUUUUUUUAUAGCUAUUAGAUUUCAUGGUUUACAUGUACUAAUUGGAUCAUUUUUCUUUUAGUAUCUCCAUAUCGACUAUUAAAAAUUCAUUUUUGAAAUAAACAUAAUAUAAAUUUUGAAUUAGCCAUUUGAUAUUGACAUUUUACUGAUGUAAUUUGAUUAUUUUUAUUUAUUUAUAUUUU